AUUGAACGCUGGCGGAAUGCUUUACACAUGCAAGUCGAACGGCAGCACGAACUUCGGUCUGGUGGCGAGUGGCGAACGGGUGAGUAAUAUAUCGGAACGUAUCCAAUAAUGGGGGAUAACUAAUCGAAAGGUUGGCUAAUACCUCAUACGUCCUACGGGAGAAAGCUAGGGACCUUCGGGCCUGGCGUUAAUGGCGCGGCCGAUAGCGGAUUAGCUAGUUGGUGAGGUAAAGGCUCACCAAGGCGACGAUCCGUAGCUGGUCUGAGAGGACGACCAGCCACACUGGAACUGAGACACGGUCCAGACUCCGACGGGAGGCAGCAGUGGGGGAUUUUGGACAAUGGGCGAAAGCCUGAUCCAGCCAUUCCGCGUGAGUGAAGAAGGCCUUCGGGUUGUAAAGCUCUUUCGCAAGAGAAGAAAACUUACCCUCUAACAUAGGGUGAGGUUGACGGUAUCUUGAUAAGAAGCACCGGCUAACUACGUGCCAGCCGCCGCAGUAA
rnacentral:rRNA from 1 species